rnacentral:lncRNA from 1 species
UUAAGUCAACUAUGUACAUAAACUCGAAACAAAACAUCUACCUGCAGUAGGGGCACCUCUAGCUCAGCACGUCGGGUAGGGCUCUAACUCGCGACGCCCUUGCCUCGAUCCUGGUCCGCGGACGGUGCAGCAGCCGAAACCUGUGGCUCUGCAAAAACAUAGGUAACAACUGGGCGUGAGAACUACUGUAAAAACAAGUAGUCCUCAGUGGGUACCGCCCAAAACAACAUCGGUCCACCCACCAAGUCUACAGAAGGGAGCAAGAGUAGUCAGAAAAGCAGGAAAUAAACUCUACCGCUAUCGAUCACUACACUAUCAUGCUCUACACUAACCAACUGUAGGAAAUGUCAAAUCUGACCCAAUCCAAUCGGGACUGUAAGCAUACCCGUCCCCGGGACUGUGAAUACACCCGUCCCUGCCCCGUUGCGACUAUCAGGCUCUAUCCACACUAACUGGUCCGUGGAGAGCAAGUCCAACUGGCAUGAGCGACACCAACGCGAAAGCACAAAGCCUGACUCCGGAGUGGCACUCGUGGGCGCUACCCAACCGAGUAUGCAGCGUAUCUCUGUCGAGCUCAAACAGGCUCUGAAAAGCCAAAGUCAAGAAAUCGACUCUAACUGGUCUAACAACCAACAAGUAACGUGCCCUCGGCACAAUCAGACGCCAAAAAGGCGAUACGGGUCCACCGUCAACCUCAACGGCACCCUACAGUCCGGAACAGCCUGAACGACCCUGUAAAAUCCCCUCGGCGAACCAGCACGAGUGUAGAUAUAUUCUAAACUACCUGGAGUACUCGUCUCGAAGAUACUGCGACAGUACAAUUUAAUAACGGCUCCUAGAGCUAAAUCAGGCAGUUUAAUCAAGUGACAGGUCCAAAUCGCAGGUUUUCUCCUAAUUCAGUUUCCAAGUCCAACAUAUAUAAUCUACUUAAUUUAUUACCACAUGCUCCAAAUUCAGAUUUGCAUUCUAUCAUAUAAUCCAUGAAUUCGAGCUAGAAUAAAUUAUCAAAAUCGAGAUCUAUACAUGUUGACGAUUA